rnacentral:rRNA from 1 species
AGAGUUUGAUCAUGGCUCAGAUUGAACGCUGGCGGCAGGCCUAACACAUGCAAGUCGAGCGGUAGCACAGAGAGCUUGCUCUCGGGUGACGAGCGGCGGACGGGUGAGUAAUGUCUGGGAAACUGCCUGAUGGAGGGGGAUAACUACUGGAAACGGUAGCUAAUACCGCAUAAUGUCGCAAGACCAAAGUGGGGGACCUUCGGGCCUCAUGCCAUCAGAUGUGCCCAGAUGGGAUUAGCUUGUAGGUGGGGUAACGGCUCACCUAGGCGACGAUCCCUAGCUGGUCUGAGAGGAUGACCAGCCACACUGGAACUGAGACACGGUCCAGACUCCUACGGGAGGCAGCAGUGGGGAAUAUUGCACAAUGGGCGCAAGCCUGAUGCAGCCAUGCCGCGUGUGUGAAGAAGGCCUUCGGGUUGUAAAGCACUUUCAGCGGGGAGGAAGGCGUUGAGGUUAAUAACCUUGUCGAUUGACGUUACCCGCAGAAGAAGCACCGGCUAACUCCGUGCCAGCAGCCGCGGUAAUACGGAGGGUGCAAGCGUUAAUCGGAAUUACUGGGCGUAAAGCGCACGCAGGCGGUCUGUCAAGUCGGAUGUGAAAUCCCCGGGCUUAACCUGGGAACUGCAUUCGAAACUGGCAGGCUAGAGUCUUGUAGAGGGGGGUAGAAUUCCAGGUGUAGCGGUGAAAUGCGUAGAGAUCUGGAGGAAUACCGGUGGCGAAGGCGGCCCCCUGGACAAAGACUGACGCUCAGGUGCGAAAGCGUGGGGAGCAAACAGGAUUAGAUACCCUGGUAGUCCACGCCGUAAACGAUGUCGAUUUGGAGGUUGUGCCCUUGAGGCGUGGCUUCCGGAGCUAACGCGUUAAAUCGACCGCCUGGGGAGUACGGCCGCAAGGUUAAAACUCAAAUGAAUUGACGGGGGCCCGCACAAGCGGUGGAGCAUGUGGUUUAAUUCGAUGCAACGCGAAGAACCUUACCUGGUCUUGACAUCCACAGAACUUUCCAGAGAUGGAUUGGUGCCUUCGGGAACUGUGAGACAGGUGCUGCAUGGCUGUCGUCAGCUCGUGUUGUGAAAUGUUGGGUUAAGUCCCGCAACGAGCGCAACCCUUAUCCUUUGUUGCCAGCGGUCCGGCCGGGAACUCAAAGGAGACUGCCAGUGAUAAACUGGAGGAAGGUGGGGAUGACGUCAAGUCAUCAUGGCCCUUACGACCAGGGCUACACACGUGCUACAAUGGCAUAUACAAAGAGAAGCGACCUCGCGAGAGCAAGCGGACCUCAUAAAGUAUGUCGUAGUCCGGAUUGGAGUCUGCAACUCGACUCCAUGAAGUCGGAAUCGCUAGUAAUCGUAGAUCAGAAUGCUACGGUGAAUACGUUCCCGGGCCUUGUACACACCGCCCGUCACACCAUGGGAGUGGGUUGCAAAAGAAGUAGGUAGCUUAACCUUCGGGAGGGCGCUUACCACUUUGUGAUUCAUGACUGGGGUGAAGUCGUAACAAGGUAACCGUAGGGGAACCUGCGGUUGGAUCACCU